ACACAUGCAAGUCGAGGGGCAGCACGAGGUAGCAAUACUUUGGUGGCGACCGGCGCACGGGUGCGUAACGCGUAUGCAACCUACCUUUAACAGGGGCAUAACACUGAGAAAUUGGUACUAAUUCCCCAUAACAUUCGAGAAGGCAUCUUCUUGGGUUAAAAACUCCGGUGGUUAAAGAUGGGCAUGCGUUGUAUUAGCUAGUUGGUGAGGUAACGGCUCACCAAGGCAACGAUACAUAGGGGGACUGAGAGGUUAACCCCCCACAUUGGUACUGAGACACGGACCAAACUCCUACGGGAGGCAGCAGUGAGGAAUAUUGGUCAAUGGACGCAAGUCUGAACCAGCCAUGCCGCGUGCAGGAAGACGGCUCUAUGAGUUGUAAACUGCUUUUGUACUAGGGUAAACGCUUCUACGUGUAGGAGCCUGAAAGUAUAGUACGAAUAAGGAUCGGCUAACUCCGUGCCAGCAGCCGCGGUAAUACGGAGGAUCCAAGCGUUAUCCGGAUUUAUUGGGUUUAAAGGGUGCGUAGGCGGUUUGAUAAGUUAGAGGUGAAAUACCGGGGCUCAACUCCGGAACUGCCUCUAAUACUGUUGAACUAGAGAGUAGUUGCGGUAGGCGGAAUGUAUGGUGUAGCGGUGAAAUGCUUAGAGAUCAUACAGAACACCGAUUGCGAAGGCAGCUUACCAAACUAUAUCUGACGU
rnacentral:rRNA from 1 species